CCGAGUUUACAACUCCCAAACCCCAAUGUGAACGUUACCAAUCCGUUGCCUCGGCGGGUUAUUUCUGCCCCGGGCGCGUCGCAGCCCCGGACCAAGGCGCCCGCCGGAGGACCAACUUACAAACUCUUUUUUUUUCUUUUACGGGGAGGCGUCUUCGCGGACUCUCUUUGUGAAUUAUUUUACAGCUUCUGAGCUUUCUCGGCGCUCCUAGCGGGCGUUUCGAAAAAUGAAUCA
rnacentral:misc_RNA from 1 species